GGAAACUUUUCUGCUAGGCUUGAUGGGAAAGGAAAUAGAAAAAGUAGGUCAAAGGUUAUUCAUGUAUGCUACGACUGCUGCUAGAACUUUGUUAGCCAAAAAAUGGAAAGUAUCAGAAUUACCAAUAUUAGAGGAGUGGCAGACAAAGAUGGUUGACUAUGUGGAACUAGCAAAACUGACCUGUAGGAUCCGAAAUCAGGAGGAAACAAAAUUCCAAAGAGAUUGGAGUAAAUUUAUAGAACAUAUAAGUAAUAACUGUAGAAAUUUGAAGACUCUGGCAGGAAUGAAAUACGACGUAGAUAGGAUUGGAUACAAUAAGAAACUGUGUAAAAGUAACUGAAGUAAGAAAGCCUGUUGAAGGGAGGGAAGGAAGUCAACGCUCAGCAGAGUGUGGGGAAAGAAUGUGGAGAAAUGACUGUUAAAUUUCACUGUAUUUUGUUUGCUUGUAUUAAAGGAAAAACCAAUAAAAAGCAUUUUAAUGGUUAAGAGCCAUGCUCUGGACCGGGGGAGGUGAUGGUGGGUGGAAGAAAAUAAACCAUCCCCAAUGGAGCAGAAAAGACUCUUCACGUACGCGACAACAGCUGCACGGAUGCUAUUAGCCCAGAGAUGGAAAGAUGAAAGGGUCCCUACCAGAGAGGAAUGGCAAAUCAAGCUGUUAGACUGCGCCGAAAUGGCAAAACUGACCGGAAAGCUCAGGGAUCCAGAAGACAAAAGCUUCAAGAAAGAAUGGGAAAAUUUUUAUAAUUGAUUUAGGAGACCACGGUAAGCAGAUGAAAACAUUAGCAGGAUUUUAAUCUCACUUGUAAUGUAACAAAUACUAUGGACGAUACGGUUAGAUUUAAAGUAGAGAUUAUGAAAUAAUAUGAGGUUGAAAACGUUGACAAUGGAGAGGACCCAUAGAGGGAAUAGGGGGUGGGGGGUGGAGUCCCGAGAUUCAGAAAAAACCUCUCCAUAUGGAUAUUUACUUGAUUUUGUUACAAACCUAUUUUUGUAAACUCGAAUAAAAAUGAUUUCAAAAAAUAAAAUAAACCAUUUUAGAUAUGCGAGCUGAUUUGAUGGAUAUGGUUUGGAUUACCAGCUAUCCACAAAAGUGGGGUGGGGAUGGAAUUCAGCUUAGCACGCCCAAAUCAUCAAGUGAAGCUUUUCAAUACAGUGGUACCUCUGGAUGCGAACGGGAUCUGUUCCAGAGCCCCAUUCGCAUCCUGAAGCGAACGCAACCCGCAUCUGCACAUGCGUGGGUCACGAUUCGCCACUUCCACGCAUGCGCAUGACGUCAUUUUGAGCAUCUGCGCAUGCGCGAGCGACGAAACCGGCAGUAAUGCGCUCCGUUACUUCCAGGUCGCUGCGGAGCGUAACCUGAAAACGCUCAACCUGAAGCGG